rnacentral:rRNA from 1 species
GACGAACGCUGGCGGCGUGCCUAAUACAUGCAAGUAGAACGCUGAAGGAGGAGCUUGCUUCUCUGGAUGAGUUGCGAACGGGUGAGUAACGCGUAGGUAACCUGCCUGGUAGCGGGGGAUACUAUUGGAAACGAUAGCUAAUACCGCAUAAUAGCAGUUAUUGCAUGAUAACUGUUUGAAAGGUGCAAUUGCACCACUACCAGAUGGACCUGCGUUGUAUUAGCUAGUUGGUGGGGUAACGGCUCACCAAGGCGACGAUACAUAGCCGACCUGAGAGGGUGAUCGGCCACACUGGGACUGAGACACGGCCCAGACUCCUACGGGAGGCAGCAGUAGGGAAUCUUCGGCAAUGGACGGAAGUCUGACCGAGCAACGCCGCGUGAGUGAAGAAGGUUUUCGGAUCGUAAAGCUCUGUUGUAAGAGAAGAACGAGUGUGAGAGUGGAAAGUUCACACUGUGACGGUAUCUUACCAGAAAGGGACGGCUAACUACGUG